rnacentral:rRNA from 1 species
AACGAACGCUGGCGGCAUGCCUAACACAUGCCAGUCGAACGAGACCUUCGGGUCUAGUGGCGCACGGGUGCGUAACGCGUGGGAACCUGCCCUUAGGUUCGGAAUAACUCCCCGAAAGGGGUGCUAAUACCGGAUAAUGUCUUCGGACCAAAGAUUUAUCGCCUUUGGAUGGGCCCGCGUUGGAUUAGCUAGUUGGUAGGGUAAAAGCCUACCAAGGCGACGAUCCAUAGCUGGUCUGAGAGGAUGAUCAGCCACACUGGGACUGAGACACGGCCCAGACUCCUACGGGAGGCAGCAGUGGGGAAUAUUGGACAAUGGGCGAAAGCCUGAUCCAGCAAUGCCGCGUGAGUGAUGAAGGCCUUAGGGUUGUAAGCUCUUUUACCCGGGAUGAUAAUGACAGUACCGGGAGAAUAAGCUCCGGCUAACUCCGUG